CCCUUGAACCGCGAACUCGAGAAUAUCGUAUUCAGUAAGGCGACGAAUCUAAUGAACGGGAAUUAAAUCUGUUCCGACAGCUUCCUUUGCCUGGAUGAAAGAAUAAGUACGAGAGAUAAAUUAUGUCAGAUAAUGCACAGGCUUUCGAUAUUUGCGAUGCUGAGUGCGUGGUGGCUGUGCAGCUACAGCUAACAAUAUCCUGUAUAUCAGUAUCUUUUAUAAUCUUAUACAGUGGCUGUGAAAAGGUAUUUAUAUGCGUUAGGUUGUCCCAAAAGUUUCUUUAGUUUUAUAAGGAAAUAUAAUGUUAUUAUUAAUGAAUUCUGUACGAAUAAAAUAAAAUGGAUUCUAUUACUACAAAAUAGAUCAUACAUAAUUCAAUACAAUAAUAUGAUACAAAAAAUGUACAUUUAUUAUUUCCUCACAAAACGAAAGAAACUUUUAUGCCAACCUAAUGCUAAUACUUACGGUAUCUCUAUCUUUUUCAAUUUUUUUUCAUCAGCCGUUACAUUUCACUUUCAACUAGUGUCAAUAGUUCGUAGUCAUACGAUAGUACUAUCAAGUGACGCGAAAUUUAUCUGUCCAUCUGCAUAGUGGAUGGUUUUCGACCAGUGACUUUAAGCGAUUUUCCACUUUCUUCAUAUUUUUGCUUAGAUUCCGCUUCGUUUAAAAAGAUUCACAUGUAUCGAUAUGAAAAUUAUUGGAAGAUAUUCUAGCAACUUGCAAGAGUAUUCAAGAAUUUUUGAGCACAGUUUUUAAAACACGAGAACGUAAACAGAUAUUGCAUGAUCCUAAACGAUCCAGCGUGUAAAUGUCGGUAAGGCUUUUGCAGACAGAGGACAAUUAAUAUGCUUUCAAUUAAUAGAAUUGAUUAACACGCUGGGAUAAACACAAUAGUAGAAAUAAUACAGAAAUACUUUUUGUAGCCACUGUAAGUAGCUGUUGGGUACAGUAUUGUUCAAAAGUAGACAGUCGCUCGAUUACUUUUGGCAAAAUGUACUUUACUCGCAAGAUUAUGCGUAAAUGGACUGCAAAAUUUCAUAACAGUUAAACGUAAAACGGACAAUAGCCUACGUUUUGUAAAAUGGUUUAUCGAAAUUAGGAGAUAAAGAAUUUCAGAUAAGUAAGAGUGUAAAAAAGAAGAGAAAGAUGGUUUUAAUAUUAAUUUUAAAAAUAUUAAAAGGGACAUUUCUGAUUUUCUUAUCCGUUGAUAAAUUGUUGUUUGAAUAAUUGCUUCUUGGAAUAAAAAAUAUUUCUUUCCAUUUUAUUUGCGUUUUACACGACGAGAUGAAUGGCAACGAACGAGAUGCAAAAUGAGAGAUGCUUAGCAUCGAGGCAUUACGCGUGGGCGAUAGAUUAGUAUGACUCUUUAGAAAGAAAUUACAUUACGCUUAACGACGAUCGUUAUUCUUUCCUGGAAUGGUUUUAUUUCCUCUUAACAAGGCGAUGUCGUCUCACGUUUUCUACGAAAACAAAAUAAUUCCAUUCUUUGCCUUAGUUUUCAUUAUAUGCUAUCGCACGAUAAAUCAUAUCCCUUUGUUCACGGAUGUGGAAAUUUAAUUAAAACCGAUUCCUAGAAACGAAUAUGCGUU